rnacentral:rRNA from 1 species
UCGAGGAUCUUCGGCAAUGGGCGCAAGCCUGACCGAGCGACGCCGCGUGGGCGAUGAAGGCCUUCGGGUUGUAAAGCCCUGUCGAGGGGGAUAAAGCCGCAAGGUUGAUUGAUCCCUGGAGGAAGCACGGGCUAAGUUCGUGCCAGCAGCCGCGGUAAGACGAACCGUGCGAACGUUGUUCGGAAUCACUGGGCUUAAAGGGCGCGUAGGCGGCGCAUCAAGUCCGGGGUGAAAGCCCCCAGCUCAACUGGGGAAGGGCCUCGGAAACGGGUGCGCUCGAGGGAGGUAGGGGCAGGGGGAACUUCUGGUGGAGCGGUGAAAUGCGUUGAUAUCAGAAGGAACGCCGGUGGCGAAAGCGCCCUGCUGGAUCUCUACUGACGCUGAGGCGCGAAAGCCAGGGGAGCAAACGG